rnacentral:rRNA from 1 species
AUUGAACGCUGGCGGCAUGCUUUACACAUGCAAGUCGAACGGCAGCACGGGUGCUUGCACCUGGUGGCGAGUGGCGGACGGGUGAGUAAUACAUCGGAACGUGUCCAGAAGAGGGGGAUAACGCAUCGAAAGAUGUGCUAAUACCGCAUAUGCUCUGAGGAGGAAAGUGGGGGAUCGAAAGACCUUACGCUUUUGGAGCGGCCGAUGUCUGAUUAGCUAGUUGGUGGGGUAAGGGCCUACCAAGGCGACGAUCAGUAGUUGGUCUGAGAGGACGACCAGCCACACUGGGACUGAGACACGGCCCAGACUCCUACGGGAGGCAGCAGUGGGGAAUUUUGGACAAUGGGCGCAAGCCUGAUCCAGCAAUGCCGCGUGAGUGAAGAAGGCCUUCGGGUUGUAAAGCUCUUUCAGUCGAGAAGAAAAAGCUGCAGUGAAUAACUGUAGUUCAUGACGGUAUCGACAGAAGAAGCACCGGCUAACUACGUG